AACGAACGCUGGCGGCAUGCCUAACACAUGCCAGUCGAACGAGACCUUCGGGUCUAGUGGCGCACGGGUGCGUAACGCGUGGGAACCUGCCCUUAGGUUCGGAAUAACUCCCCGAAAGGGGUGCUAAUACCGGAUAAUGUCUUCGGACCAAAGAUUUAUCGCCUUUGGAUGGGCCCGCGUUGGAUUAGCUAGUUGGUAGGGUAAAAGCCUACCAAGGCGACGAUCCAUAGCUGGUCUGAGAGGAUGAUCAGCCACACUGGGACGGAGACACGGCCCAGACUCCUACGGGAGGCAGCAGUGGGGAAUAUUGGACAAUGGGCGAAAGCCUGAUCCAGCAAUGCCGCGUGAGUGAUGAAGGCCUUAGGGUUGUAAAGCUCUUUUACCCGGGAUGAUAAUGACAGUACCGGGAGAAUAAGCUCCGGCUAACUCCGUG
rnacentral:rRNA from 1 species